GAUGAACGCUGGCGGCGUGCCUAAUACAUGCAAGUCGAGCGAACGGACGAGAAGCUUGCUUCUCUGAUGUUAGCGGCGGACGGGUGAGUAACACGUGGAUAACCUACCUAUAAGACUGGGAUAACUUCGGGAAACCGGAGCUAAUACCGGAUAAUAUUUUGAACCGCAUGGUUCAAAAGUGAAAGACGGUCUUGCUGUCACUUAUAGAUGGAUCCGCGCUGCAUUAGCUAGUUGGUAAGGUAACGGCUUACCAAGGCAACGAUGCAUAGCCGACCUGAGAGGGUGAUCGGCCACACUGGAACUGAGACACGGUCCAGACUCCUACGGGAGGCAGCAGUAGGGAAUCUUCCGCAAUGGGCGAAAGCCUGACGGAGCAACGCCGCGUGAGUGAUGAAGGUCUUCGGAUCGUAAAACUCUGUUAUUAGGGAAGAACAUAUGUGUAAGUAACUGUGCACAUCUUGACGGUACCUAAUCAGAAAGCCACGGCUAACUACGUGCCAGCAGCCGCGGUAAUACGUAGGUGGCAAGCGUUAUCCGGAAUUGUUGGGCGUAAAGCGCGCGUAGGCGGUUUUUUAAGUCUGAUGUGAAAGCCCACGGCUCAACCGUGGAGGGUCAUUGGAAACUGGAAAACUUGAGUGCAGAAGAGGAAAGUGGAAUUCCAUGUGUAGCGGUGAAAUGCGCAGAGAUAUGGAGGAACACCAGUGGCGAAGGCGACUUUCUGGUCUGUAACUGACGCUGAUGUGCGAAAGCGUGGGGAUCAAACAGGAUUAGAUACCCUGGUAGUCCACGCCGUAAACGAUGAGUGCUAAGUGUUAGGGGGUUUCCGCCCCUUAGUGCUGCAGCUAACGCAUUAAGCACUCCGCCUGGGGAGUACGACCGCAAGGUUGAAACUCAAAGGAAUUGACGGGGACCCGCACAAGCGGUGGAGCAUGUGGUUUAAUUCGAAGCAACGCGAAGAACCUUACCAAAUCUUGACAUCCUUUGACAACUCUAGAGAUAGAGCCUUCCCCUUCGGGGGACAAAGUGACAGGUGGUGCAUGGUUGUCGUCAGCUCGUGUCGUGAGAUGUUGGGUUAAGUCCCGCAACGAGCGCAACCCUUAAGCUUAGUUGCCAUCAUUAAGUUGGGCACUCUAAGUUGACUGCCGGUGACAAACCGGAGGAAGGUGGGGGUGACGUCAAAUCAUCAUGCCCCUUAUGAUUUGGGCUACACACGUGCUACAAUGGACAAUACAAAGGGCAGCGAAACCGCGAGGUCAAGCAAAUCCCAUAAAGUUGUUCUCAGUUCGGAUUGUAGUCUGCAACUCGACUACAUGAAGCUGGAAUCGCUAGUAAUCGUAGAUCGGCAUGCUACGGUGAAUACGUUCCCGGGUCU
rnacentral:rRNA from 1 species